AGUCGAACGGUCUUGUUUCGGCAAGAUAGUGGCAGACGGGUGAGUAACGCGUAGGAACUUACCCUCUGGCGUGGAAUAGCUCAUCGAAAGGUGGGGUAAUACCGCAUAAGUUCCAACCUAGUUGGAAGAAAGAGCGUAACUGCUCACCAGUGGAAAGGCCUGCGUCCUAUCAGCUUGUUGGUGAGGUAAUGGCUCACCAAGGCAUUAACGGGUAGUUGGUGUGAGAGCACGACCAGCCACAGGGUCACUGAGACACGGGGCCCACACCUACGGGUGGCAGCAACCGGGAAUAUUGCGCAAUGGGCGAAAGCCUGACGCAGUGACGCCGCGUGGAGGAUGAAGGCCUUCGGGUCGUAAACUCCUUUUCUGAAGGAAGAUGAUGACGGUACUUCAGGAAUAAGCACCUGCAAACUACGUGCCAGCAGCCGCGGUAAUACGUAGGGUGCAAGCGUUAUCCGGAUUUACUGGGCGUAAAGAGUAUCGUAGGCUGAGUAGCAAGUUCUAGCUCAAAUUCCAAGGCUUAACUUUGGACCGGGUUAGAAUACUGUUAUUCUAGAACUAGGUAGGGGAUGCUGGAAUUCCUGGUGGAGGGGUGAAAUCCGUUGAUAUCAGGAGGAACACCGAGGGCGAAGGCAAGCAUCUGGGCCUCAGUUGACGCUGAUGGACGAAAGCUAGGGUAGCAAAAGGGAUUAGAGACCCCUGUAGUCCUAGCCGUAAACGAUGUCCGCUAGUUUGUCCGAUUUUUUAAUUGGACUGACGUAAGCUAACGCGUUAAGCGGACCGCCUGGGGAGUACGACCGCAAGGUUAAAACUCAAAGGAAUUGACAGGGGAUCUGCACAACCAGUGGAGCAUGUGGUUCAAUUCGAUACGAAGCGUAGAACCUUACCUGGGCUUGACAUGUUACUGCACGCCCUUCGAAAGAGGGGAAGCCUUAGAGGGUGUAACACAGCUGCUGCAUGGCUGUCGUCAGCUCUAGUCGUGAGAUGUUCCCUUAAGUGGGGUAUAGAGCGCAACCCUUAUCCUGUGUUGUAUAUCACAGGAAACUGCCUCAGUUUAACUGGGGAGGAAGGAGAGGAUGACGUCAAGUCAGCAUGGUGCUUACGUCCAGGGCGACACACAUCCUACAAUGGAUGCUACAAUGGGUUGCUAAGCCGUAAGGUGGAGCUAAUCCCAAAAAAGCAUCCUCAGUUCGGAUUGUGGGCUGCAAUUCGCCCACAUGAAGUCGGAAUUGGUAGUAAUCGCGGGUCAGCAGACCGCGGUGAAUACGUUCUCAGAUCUUGUACACACUGCCCGUCAAGCGAGGAAAGUUGGGGGUACCCGAAGCUGUU
rnacentral:rRNA from 1 species